CCCUGCAAGGCAUGCCAGUCUAAUUAUUCAAAUGGUGCUUAUGGCUGAUAUCUUCUGCUUCCUCUUUGUCAGAACUAGAAGAUGCAAAUGAGAUAACAAUGGACAUUGUGCAGAAACAAGAGAACACACAAUACCAGGUCAUAUCACACUCUACACACUUACUAACAUGUAAAUAGACAGAGGGCUGUCAUAGAGUGCGGAGCAGAGGGAGCCAUCGCCUUCCAUACACAGGUACAUAGAGUACACAGGGAGAAGUAGGGCUCCUCCGCACUGGCUGCUGCCAUCUCCUCCAAGAAUAUGUAUGGGAGCAACAGAAAACUGUCUUGUCUGCCUCCACAGCCUCUGUGCAGAUAUGGUAAU